UACGUAGGGACCGAGCGUUGUCCGGAAUCAUUGGGCGUAAAGAGCGUGUAGGCGGCCACUUAAGUCUUGCGUGAAAUCUUGCGGCUCAACCGCAAGCGGUCGUGGGAAACUGGGUGGCUAGAGUGCGGGAGAGGAGAGUGAAAUUCCUGGUGUAGCGGUGGAAUGCGCAGAUAUCAGGAAGAACACCCGUGGCGAAGGCGGCUCUCUGGAACGCAACUGACGCUGAGACGCGAAAGCGUGGGGAGCAAACAGG
rnacentral:rRNA from 1 species